GGAUGCUCUCCCUGAUGCCAUUCUCCAAUGCAUCUUGUCCCGAAUCACCAAUGCUCGUGACAUACUAUACUAAAGGAUGUCUUAACUGAAAAGCUUAAAGACAGGAGCAAUACCUCAAAUGGAAUGACCGAGAUUUUGACGCAGAAGAAUGGUUGAUGAAAGACUUGAAAUUUAAAAGGACUUGACAACUCACCUAUCUGUUUGAGUACAUGUUAAGAAUUGUGAACGCCUUACAAGUGUGUCCCCACCAACACCGAAAGAUCUUGUGGAAUUUGAAGAUCCAGUAGUGGAAGAUGUUCUGCUACGAUUGCUUCCUUUCUUAACUAAUUUAGUAACGUUGAAAGUUGAAAACUGAGAUUCCAUCAAAGCCAUUUUUGAUGUCAAAUGUACAACAGAAAGCAAAGAUGUGAUAUCUAGAGGAUCAACCCUUUUUCCUUUGAAGAAUUUGACUUUACCCAAUCUACCAUAUUUGAAGAAUGUUUGGAAUGAAGAUCGUCAUGGAAUUCUUUCUAAGGAUGCACCAUCCUUAGUCAUAUUUUUAGUAUUUUAAUUUAAUAUUGAACAUCUUUCUUUUUAAUAUAUGAACCAUUAAUUGUAUAAACAUAUUAACAUGUAGAACAAUGUUAUUUAUUUUAUAUAUAAUAUUUAGUUUUAAUUCA